rnacentral:lncRNA from 1 species
GCGAGUAUAGCUGUUUUUUUUUGCUGGAUAUUAUCUAUUGUAUUGCCGGGCUGCGCCCCGUGCGCUUUUCCGGAGCGUUUAAUUUUUGGGAAUGUGUUUUUCCCUGGCGGACUUUGUCACGCGCCCUGUGCCCUACGGCUAUUGCGUUCUGCAUUUAUUAUUAAAACACUGUUGCUCCGGCCCUCUGCCUCCUGCUCCUGAUUCCACAUCUCCACUGGUCCUAGACAGCCGUGACAGCUGCCUGGCCCCUCAUUGUGGAGAAAGAGGAUCUCUGUCUGCUGUCCCCACAUGCUUCAAGAUGUCCACCAUUGUUCCUGUACCCAAGACAGCAAAGGCGGCGAAUCGCAUCUCUGCAUGUCUGUCAGACAUAUCAGUGUGGAUGACGGAUCACCACCUCAAGCUGAACCUCGGCAAGACGGAGCUGCUCUUCCUCCCGGGGAAGGACUGCCCGUCCCAUGAUCUCGCCAUCACGGUUGACAACUCCCUUGUGUCCUCCUCC